CGGACUUGACGUUGGUUUACCAGCGAGUGGCGGACGGGUGAGUAACACGUAGGUAACCUGCCCCAAAGCGGGGGAUAACAUUUGGAAACAGAUGCUAAUACCGCAUAACAAUUUGAAUCGCAUGAUUCAAAUUUAAAAGAUGGCUUCGGCUAUCACUUUGGGAUGGACCUGCGGCGCAUUAGCUUGUUGGUAGGGUAACGGCCUACCAAGGCUGUGAUGCGUAGCCGAGUUGAGAGACUGAUCGGCCACAAUGGAACUGAGACACGGUCCAUACUCCUACGGGAGGCAGCAGUAGGGAAUCUUCCACAAUGGGCGCAAGCCUGAUGGAGCAACACCGCGUGAGUGAAGAAGGGUUUCGGCUCGUAAAGCUCUGUUGUUAGAGAAGAACGUGCGUGAGAGCAACUGUUCACGCAGUGACGGUAUCUAACCAGAAAGUCACGGCUAACUACGUGCCAGCAGCCGCGGUAAUACGUAGGUGGCAAGCGUUAUCCGGAUUUAUUGGGCGUAAAGCGAGCGCAGGCGGUUUGAUAAGUCUGAUGUGAAAGCCUUUGGCUUAACCAAAGAAGUGCAUCGGAAACUGUCAGACUUGAGUGCAGAAGAGGACAGUGGAACUCCAUGUGUAGCGGUGGAAUGCGUAGAUAUAUGGAAGAACACCAGUGGCGAAGGCGGCUGUCUGGUCUGCAACUGACGCUGAGGCUCGAAAGCAUGGGUAGCGAACAGGAUUAGAUACCCUGGUAGUCCAUGCCGUAAACGAUGAGUGCUAGGUGUUUGGAAGGGUUUCCGCCCUUCAGUGCCGCAGCUAACGCAUUAAGCACUCCGCCCGGGGGAGUACGACCGCAAGGUUGAAACUCAAAGGAAUUGACGGGGGCCCGCACAAGCGGUGGAACCAGGUGGUUUAAUUCGAAGCUACGCGAAGAACCUUACCAGGUCUUGACAUCUUGCGCCAACCCUAGAAGAUAGGGGCGUUUCCUUCGGGAACGCAAUGACAGGUGGGUGCAUGGUCGUCGUCAGCUCGUGUCGUGAA
rnacentral:rRNA from 1 species